rnacentral:piRNA from 1 species
UUGGCUUAUUUGUAAUAUGGCACGGGUGG